CAGAUCUCAGGACCACCUGCUGGAGAAUGGUGUCUGCCCCGGUGGAUGGGACCCACCUUCAUCAGUCAACAAUCAAGACGUCCUUCACAGAUCCAGCCACAGACCAACCCAGGGACUGUCUGGACUGUUAACCUCUCCUCUCCUCUCAGAUAACUCACCUGUGUCAAGUUGACAACGAAGAAGAAUGGAGCCCCUUACACCCAAGACAGCAUUUGGUUGACAUCUUGCCCAUGUCUGGCCAGGCAUUUGGUCCUUGGGUGUGUAAUGGAAGUUGAGCAAGACUUGGGGAGCAAGCCAGCAAGCAGCGCUCCUCCAUGGCCUCUGCAUCAGCUCCUCUCUCCAGGUUCCUGUCCUGACAUUUGUCGAUGGGAUGUGAUAUAGAAGUGUAAGCAAAAUAAACC